rnacentral:rRNA from 1 species
GACAGAGGCCUAGAGCGUUAGGCGGAAUCACUGGGCUUAAAGCGUGUGUAGGCGGACCCCUAAGUGUCUUGUGAAAUCCCACGGCUCACCCGUGGAACCGCUGGGCAUACCGGGGGUCUUGGGCCAUUCAGGGGCGACUGGAACAAGCGGUGGAGCGGUGAAAUGCGUAGAUAGCGCUUGGAACGCCGACGGUGAAAACAGGUCGCUGGGAAUGUGCCGACGCUGAGACACGACAGCCAGGGGAGCAAACGGG